rnacentral:rRNA from 1 species
UACAGAGGGGGCAAGCGUUGUUCGGAAUUACUGGGCGUAAAGGGCGCGUAGGCGGCCUUCUAAGUCGAACGUGAAAUCCCCGGGCUCAACCCGGGAACUGCGUCCGAUACUGGAAGGCUUGAAUCCGGGAGAGGGAUGCGGAAUUCCAGGUGUAGCGGUGAAAUGCGUAGAUAUCUGGAGGAACACCGGUGGCGAAGGCGGCUUCCUGGCCUGUUCUUGACGCUGAGGCGCGAAAGCUAGGGGAGCAAACGGG